GAUAAAGUGUUGAAAGGGACUAGUAAAUAUAUGUUUUAGCGAAAGAGAGUGGAAUUCAGCGGCUGAAAGAUUCCAUCGCAGAAAGCUUAUUGAACCUACCCUCGAGCGUUAGGAUAAACCCUAACCGUCACCAGCGUUAAUGGUAUUAAGAGGACAUCUAACUGAUGUCAAUUAAGGUGGUACCGCGGAUGAUAACUCUUCCGUCCUUGUU
rnacentral:ncRNA from 1 species